rnacentral:rRNA from 1 species
UUGAAAGGGAAACGAUUGAAGUCAGUCGUACCAGCGGGAAAUCAACCUUUCGAGAGGGGGUUUUGGAGUUUUGAAGAGUUUCAAAACCUUUGAGAUUUCAAAAAUUUCGCUCUUUUGGGGGAACUUUCUCGUGGGUAGGUUAACAUCGAUUUUGAUCAUCAUAAAAAGAUUGGAAUGUUGUAGCUUCGAUCUUGUAUUGAAGUGUUAUAUCCUUUGGUAAAUGUGAUGAUUAGGAUCGAGGAUUGCAACGAAUACCCUUUUGGGCUAUCCGCCUGAUCUCUGAUACGUGGCCUUGGUAUCGAAAGCUUGCUUAUGGUAUUAAGGUAUUACGGUCAAAAGGUUAGAACGGAUUACAUUCGUUAAGGAUGUUGACGUA